GUUGACCGAAAAGAUAUAUAAGUGUUUCAACUUAUUAACGCCAUGAUUUCUUUGAAGAUUCCAGUAAAGUCAUCUGACCUGCAUUUUAAGCAAUUAUUAUUUCCGAUUAUGACAUUUUGAUUUGGAGGGAAUUUUUCACACAGCCAGUGGUGUUUGCAUACCAGGAAAGAUGCACCCGUGUUUAUACAUCCCGUCAUUGUGUUAUUC
rnacentral:lncRNA from 1 species